CAGUCGCCGCGGUAAAACGGAGGGUGCAAGCGUUAAUCGGAAUUACUGGGCGUAAAGCGCACGCAGGCGGUCUGACAAGUCAGAUGUGAAAUCCCCGGGCUUAACCUGGGAACUGCAUUUGAAACUGUCAGGCUGGAGUCUUGUAGAGGGGGGUAGAAUUCCAGGUGUAGCGGUGAAAUGCGUAGAGAUCUGGAGGAAUACCGGUGGCGAAGGCGGCCCCCUGGACAAAGACUGACGCUCAGGUGCGAAAGCGUGGGGAGCAAACAGGAUUAGAGACCCGCGUAGUCCCUGUCUCUUAUAA
rnacentral:rRNA from 1 species